UGCUUUUUUAUUGAAUUGGAAAAAGUGUCAGCACUGUGUAGGUAGUUUGUGAGAGAGCUCUGUGCCUUAUUUUUAAGAACAAAUCGACAUGAUGGUGCAGUUGUUGUUUUUGUUUGGCGUGCUUUCUUUAAGUUUCGUGUUAAUUUUCACGUCCAAAUCAGAAUAUGAUUGAAACAUUUUUGCCUAAAAUGAUUCCACAGCGAUGACAAAAUACUCUCGAAAAGGGUGAUAGAAACAUAAAAUAUUAAUAAAUAUUGUGAUUUUUACACAGAUAGUUUUGAGCGCGAUGUUCCGCGAAGUCUCUGAUUACUCCAACUCAGCGACGUAAGGCGUUCUUGUUGGAGUAUUUCGAGAUGUGCGAUAGCAAAGAUUAUCCGUGGGUGGUUACAAACUUUUCCUUCGUCCGCGAUGACAAGGCACUUCACAUGAACGGCUUGAUACUUGUGACCAGAGAUAUCCGAGACCCGAUUGCGUUGCAGAUUAAGAUGGUUAGAUGCAAAGAUAGGACAGAUCUAAGCUCUUGUGAACACGUGACAAGUAUUAAAUGGCCAGACCUCUGCGGCGCAGUCAAGCUUGUCCCUCUAAUAAGGAUAUUUUUUGACGCUUUUGAGCCUCCCUUGGCUUGUCCAGUUAAGAAGAAUCGUUAUUUUGUGAGAGAUGUGGUCCUACCUCUAGAUAUAGUGUCUACAUUUCUAACCACUGCGAGACAGAAGAAACAAUUAUCAAAAGUUCGCUGCACAAUGUAUGAAGGAAAUCAACUAAUUUCUUGCCUGGAUGCCGGCUGGAGGAUAAGAGAUAUUAAAAUUAGAUCAUAAGAGUUUCGGAGACGCCCAGAAACAUCGGUGUUUAUAAAAAAGCACAUUUUAUGCCUUUAAAAUUUUUAUGUAUUGAAUUCCAAAAGUAUGUUGAAUGACUCACCACCAUCGAGACUAAUCAAUUUUCCUUCAUUCCAAACUAGCUGAGAAAAGUUGUAUCACUUUAUGUCUAAACUAGUUUUACUACACGACGGGCUUUCCAUUUAAAUAUUUAAGUAAAUAGGAUUAAAGUUGACUAGUGCUAUACGUUAGGUAAACUUUUAGAAAUUGAAAAUAAGUGAAAACUCUUGUUGGAAAAAAGGACUAUACAUUGCAACCGCACAUGGCACUUGCAGUCAAAGAGCUUUUCAUUACCUCGAGCGUUAUGAUACCUGCGUUAUGAUACACAACAUGAAUUUGCAAUCGAAGUUUUGCUCUGUAUUCUUGGCUAUAAAAUCUUAAACUGUCCCUGGGUUUUCUUCAUUAUGAACCAUUUUCCCAGAUAAUUGAGUGCUCCUCAAAAACUUCAUUUUUCCAGGAAAAUCUGUAGUCUUAUUUACAGACUUGAAAGAAUGAUUUAUUCUAUAUUUCUUUGCCCUAUUUCAUAAACUGUGAAGAACUCACAGUUUUAAUAAAGUGAAAAU
rnacentral:lncRNA from 1 species